GAUGAACGCUGGCGGCGUGCCUAAUACAUGCAAGUCGAGCGAACAGACGAGGAGCUUGCUCCUUCGACGUUAGCGGCGGACGGGUGAGUAACACGUAGGUAACCUACCUAUAAGACUGGGAUAACUUCGGGAAACCGGAGCUAAUACCGGAUAAUAUUUCGAACCGCAUGGUUCGAUAGUGAAAGAUGGCUUUGCUAUCACUUAUAGAUGGACCUGCGCCGUAUUAGCUAGUUGGUAAGGUAACGGCUUACCAAGGCAACGAUACGUAGCCGACCUGAGGGGGUGAUCGGCCACACUGGAACUGAGACACGGUCCAGACUCCUACGGGAGGCAGCAGUAGGGAAUCUUCCGCAAUGGGCGAAAGCCUGACGGAGCAACGCCGCGUGAGUGAUGAAGGUCUUCGGAUCGUAAAACUCUGUUAUUAGGGAAGAACAAACGUGUAAGUAACUGUGCACGUCUUGACGGUACCUAAUCAGAAAGCCACAGCUAACUACGUG
rnacentral:rRNA from 1 species